AUUGAACGCUGGCGGCAGGCCUAACACAUGCAAGUCGAACGAGUGGCGGACGGGUGAGUAAUGUCUGGGAAACUGCCCGAUGGAGGGGGAUAACUACUGGAAACGGUAGCUAAUACCGCAUACCAUCGGAUGUGCCCAGAUGGGAGUAGCUUGUAGGUGAGGUAACGGCUCACCUAGGCGACGAUCCCUAGCUGGUAUGAGAGGAUGACCAGGCAAACUGGAACUGAGACACGGUCCAGACGCAUAGGUGAGGCAGCAGUGGGGAUUAUUGCACAAUGGGCGCAAGCCUGAUGAAGCCAUGCCGCGUGUAUGAAGAAGGCCUUCGGUUUGUAAAGUACUUUCAGCGGCGAGGCGUUACCCGCAGAAGAAGCACCGACGAACGCCGUGCCAGCAGCCGCGGUAAUUC
rnacentral:rRNA from 1 species